GGGGAAUAUUGGGCAAUGGACGCAAGUCUGACCCAGCAACGCCGCGUGAAGGAAGAAGGCUUUCGGGUUGUAAACUUCUUUUAAGGGGGAAGAGUAGAAGACGGUACCCCUUGAAUAAGCCACGGCUAACUACGUGCCAGCAGCCGCGGUAAUACGUAGGUGGCAAGCGUUGUCCGGAUUUACUGGGUGUAAAGGGCGUGUAGCCGGGAAGGUAAGUCAGAUGUGAAAUCUGGGGGCUCAACCUCCAAACUGCAUUUGAAACUACUUUUCUUGAGUAACGGAGAGGUAAACGGAAUUCCUUGUGGAGCCGUUAAAUGCGGAGAUAAAAAGAAGGAAAACAGUGGCGAAGGCGGAUUACUGGACGACAACUGACGGUGAGGCGCGGAAGCGUGGGGAGCAAAAA
rnacentral:rRNA from 1 species